GACGAACGCUGGCGGCGUGCUUAACACAUGCAAGUCGAACGGAGUUCCUCGGAUCAAGGCUUCGGCCAAGUGAACUGGAACUUAGUGGCGGACUGGUGAGUAACGCGUGAGGAACCUGCCUUUCAGAGGGGGACAACAGUUGGAAACGACUGCUAAUACCGCAUGACGCAUUCGGGUCGCAUGGCCUGAAUGCCAAAGAUUUUAUCGCUGAAAGAUGGCCUCGCGUCUGAUUAGCUAGUUGGUGAGGUAACGGCCCACCAAGGCGACGAUCAGUAGCCGGACUGAGAGGUUGACCGGCCACAUUGGGACUGAGAUACGGCCCAGACUCCUACGGGAGGCAGCAGUGGGGAAUAUUGGGCAAUGGACGCAAGUCUGACCCAGCAACGCCGCGUGAAGGAGAAGGCUUUCGGGUUGUAAACGUUCUUUAAGGGGGUAAGAGGUAGAAGACGGUACCCUUGAAUAAGCCACGGCUAACUACGUAGCCAGCAGCCGC
rnacentral:rRNA from 1 species